UCUGUUAAGUAAUUUGGCCGGUGCCGGAUGCCGUAAAACUUAAUAGUGAAUUGUGAAUACUUAGUAGCAAUGGCGCUUAUGUAGUAUUUCUGUUAUUGUUACAAACUACGCCACUUGACAUUAGUACAUUACACGUUUUCACUUCCGACAUUUUAUCCAUUCGCAUCGGUGCUCGAGAAAUCACUACAUCAAUGUUGUUUCUGAAUUCAAAUUCGGUGAGUACUUGGUAAUCUAAUCAUUGUUCGUAAUGUCCGUAUUAUUCUCCACAGUCGAUUUCACGACAAGCCAGUAUUGAUAUUUAUGGUCCACUCGCUACUAAUGCACGGAGAAGAGAAGUUUCAAUGAUAUUAGUCUACAUAGACUUCAUAUAUUAUAUAGUCUAGAUUCGUGAAUAGUUGCAUACUCUUGCCCAGGAGAGAUCAUUACCAUGUCCCAACCAAAACGUUAUCCUCCACUCAACAACGGUUUGUGAAUGUAUGGUACAUUUGACAACACUGAACGGAAUAAUUCAUAUAUAUACGACCUAUACUGUAGCAGCACUAAGUGAGGGAAUUUGUGCUUUGGACCGGUCAACAUUUAAACAUCUAUGGUUCUCCUAAUGUCGGUUAAGGACUUACGGUGCGUUUUUAUUGACGAAUGCUGGUUUUUUUGACCGCCGAUAUACGUCCGGCAAUGGCAGCGUGUACGUGUUCGGACUCGG